rnacentral:rRNA from 1 species
ACGUAGGGUGCAGGCGUUAAUCGGAAUUACUGGGCGUAAAGCGUGCGCAGGCGGUUUGUUAAGACAGAUGUGAAAUCCCCGGGCUUAACCUGGGAACUGCGUUUGUAACUGGCAAGCUAGAGUGUGGCAGAGGGGGGUGGAAUUCCAAGUGUAGCAGUGAAAUGCGUAGAUAUUUGGAGGAACACCGAUGGCGAAGGCAGCCCCCUGGGCUAACACUGACGCUCAUGCACGAAAGCGUGGGGAGCAAACAGGAUUAGAUACCCUGGUAGUCCACGCCCUAAACUAUGUCAACUGGUUGUCGGAGGAGCAAUCCUUUGGUAACGAAGCUAACGCGUGAAGUUGACCGCCUGGGGAGUACGGCCGCAAGGUUA